rnacentral:rRNA from 2 species
GGAUGCGAUCAUACCAGCACUAACGCACCGGAGCCCAUCAGAAACUCCGAAGUUAAGAGUACUUUGGCUAGAGUAGUACUGGGAUGGGUGACCCCCUGGAAAGUCCUUGUUUUGCAUCCC